UCGGGAAUUUUGGGCAAUGGGGGAAACCCUGACCCAGCAACGCCGCGUGAAGGAUGAAGUAUUUCGGUAUGUAAACUUCGAAAGAAUAGGAAGAAUAAAUGACGGUACUAUUUAUAAGGUCCGGCUAACUACGUGCCAGCAGCCGCGGUAAUACGUAGGGACCAAGCGUUGUUCGGAUUUACUGGGCGUAAAGGGCGCGUAGGCGGCAAUUCAAGUCAUCUGUGAAAUCUCCGGGCUUAACUCGGAACGGUCAGAUGAUACUGCUUUGCUAGAGUGCAGAAGGGGCAAUCGGAAUUCUUGGUGUAGCGGUGAAAUGCGUAGAUAUCAAGAGGAACACCUGAGGUGAAGACGGGUUGCUGGGCUGACACUGACGCUGAGGCGCGAAAGCCAGGGGAGCAAACGGGAUUAGAUACCCACGUAGUCCCUGAGCGGGC
rnacentral:rRNA from 1 species